rnacentral:lncRNA from 10 species
UGCCCGCGCAGGCUCAUAGGCAGAAGGGACUUGACUUGUCUCAGAUACCCUAUUUUAAUCUUGUGAAGCAUUUAACACCUGCCUGUCCAAAUGUAUAUAGUAUAUCACAGUUUCAUCACACAACCCCGUACAGCAAAACACACAGUGGUGAGAAAUACACCGAUCCUUUCAAACUCGGUUGGAGAGACUUGAAAGGUCUGUAUGAGGGUAUUAGAAAGGAACCGCUCAUAUCAACAACAGAACUUAAGGAAAUCUCUGAGUACUACUUUGAUGUAAAAGGAAAAGCCUUUCGAUCAAUUAUUGUGGUACUAAUGGCCCGAGCAUGUAAUAUUCAUCAUAAUAACUCCCGACAUGUGCAAGCUAGCCAGCGCGCCACAGCCUUAAUUGCAGAAAUGAUCCACACUGCUAGUCUUGUUCACGAUGACGUUAUUGAUAAUGCACGUUCUCGAAAAGGAAAACACACAAGAUCUGGGGUGAAAAGAAGGCUGUCCUUGCUGGAGAUUUAAUUCUUUCUGUAGUAUCUAUAGGUGGGGCACAAACUGGAAAUACAGCUGUUAUAUCUAUUUUAACCCGAGUUAUUGAAGAUUUGGUGUGUGGUGAAUUUCUUCAGCUCGGGUCAAAAGAAAAUGAGCAUGAGAGAUUUGCACAAUACCUUGAAAAGACCUUCAAGAAUACUGCGAGCCUGAUAGCCAACAGUUGUAAAGCAGUCUCUGUUCUAGGAUGCCCCGACCCAGUGGUGCAUGAGAUCACCUAUCAGUACGGAAAAAAUGUAGGAAUAGCUUUUCAGCUAAUAGAUGAUGUAUUCGACUUCACCUCAUGUUCUAACAUAGGCAAACCAACAUCAGCUGAUGUGAAUCUCAGGUUAGCCACUGGUCCUGUCCUAUUUGCCUGUCAGCAGUUCCCAGAAAUGAAUGCUAUGAUCAUGAGAUGGUUCAGUUUGCCGGGAGAUGUAGACAGAGCUCCACAGUAUGUAUUACAGAGUGAUGGUGUAAAACAAACAACCUACCUUGCCCAGCAGUACUGCCAUGAAGCAAUAAGAGAGAGCAGUAAACUUCUCAUCCCCAGAAAGAGACGCCCUCAUUCAACUUUCAGAAAUUGUACUCACAAGACAUAA